rnacentral:rRNA from 1 species
UGGGGAAUAUUGCACAAUGGGCGCAAGCCUGAUGCAGCCAUGCCGCGUGUGUGAAGAAGGCCUUCGGGUUGUAAAGCACUUUCAGCGGGGAGGAAGGCGUUAAGGUUAAUAACCUUGGCGAUUGACGUUACCCGCAGAAGAAGCACCGGCUAACUCCGUGCCAGCAGCCGCGGUAAUACGGAGGGUGCAAGCGUUAAUCGGAAUUACUGGUCGUAAAGCGGACGCAGGCGGUAUGGCAAGUGGGAUGUGAAAACCCGGGGCACAACCUGGGAAAUGCAUUCGAAACUGGGAGGGUAGAGUAUUGUAGAGGGGGGUAGAAUUCCAGGUGUAGCGGUGAAAUGCGUAGAGAUCUGGAGGAAUACCGGUGGCGAAGGCGGCCCCCUGGACAAAGACUGACGCUCAGGUGCGAAAGCGUGGGGAGCAAACAGG